rnacentral:lncRNA from 1 species
CGGCCACCGUCGACCGCGCGCGAGAGGUCCGCCGCGCCGGCCGGCACUGGCGCUGGGAGUACCGCCUUGCUGACGCAAGCCCACCGGCUUGCGUCAGUAAGGGCUUUUUUUUAAGUUAGAAAAUAAAUAGGUAGUAAUUAGGUAGAAAUUCAAUAGAUUUUUGUAUAUGUGUUAGAAAAUCAAAUUAGUGUAAAUUAGUAGUAAUUAGUAGUAAUUAGGUUGGUCGCUCCGCCUAGGUUAGAAAUGAAUCGUGUUUCAUCGUGGUUCCGUCCUCGCCUCCGCCGUCCCGCCGCCCUGACCGCCGCCGUCACAACCUAGGCACCGUCCGUGGUUCCGUCCCCGCCUCCGCCCGCCGCCCUGGCCUCUGCAAAUUCAUGUUAUUGCUAGAAAUUCGUAAAAAUUCAUGUUAUUGCUAGAAAUUCGUACAAAUUCAUGUUAUUGCUAGAAAUUCGUAAAAAUUCAUGUUAUUGCUAGAAACUCGUACAAAAUUCAUGUUAUUGCUAGAAAUUCAUAAAAAUUCAUGUUAUUGCUAGAAAUUCAUAAAAAUUCAUGUUAUUGCUAGAAAUUCGUACAAAUUCAUGUUAUUGCUAGAAAUUCGUCACAAAGUACUACUAAUUUGUAGAAAUUUGUAUAAAUAUUCCGGACUUUGUAGGAUUCAUGUUAUUUUAUGAUUUC